rnacentral:rRNA from 1 species
GCCGCGUGUGUGAAGAAGGCCUUCGGGUUGUAAAGCACUUUCAGUUGUGAGGAAAGCUUGAUGGUUAAUACCCAUCAGGUAUGACGUUAGCAACAGAAGAAGGACCGGCUAACUCCGUGCCAGCAGCCGCGGUAAUACGGAGGGUCCGAGCGUUAAUCGGAAUUACUGGGCGUAAAGCGCACGCAGGCGGUUUGUUAAGCUAGAUGUGAAAGCCCCGGGCUCAACCUGGGAAUAGCAUUUAGAACUGGCAGACUAGAGUCUUGGAGAGGGGAGUGGAAUUUCUGGUGUAGCGGUGAAAUGCGUAGAUAUCAGAAGGAACAUCAGUGGCGAAGGCGACUCCCUGGCCAAAGACUGACGCUCAUGUGCGAAAGUGUGGGUAGCGAACAGGAUUAGAUACCCUGGUAGUCCACACCGUAAACGCUGUCUACUAGCUGUUUGUGGAUUUA